GAUGAACGCUGGCGGCGUGCCUAAUACAUGCAAGUCGAACGAUGAAGCUAGAGCUUGCUCUGGUGGAUUAGUGGCGAACGGGUGAGUAACACGUGAGUAACCUGCCCCGAACUCUAGGAUAACUGCUGGAAACGGUAGCUAAUACCGGAUAUGACCAAUGAAGGCAUCUUCUGUUGGUGGAAAGAAUUUCGGUUCGGGAUGGACUCGCGGCCCAUCAGCUUGUUGGUGAGGUAACGGCUCACCAAGGCGACGACGGGUAGCCGGCCUGAGAGGGUGAUCGGCCACACUGGGACUGAGACACGGCCCAGACUCCUACGGGAGGCAGCAGUGGGGAAUAUUGCACAAUGGGCGCAAGCCUGAUGCAGCAACGCCGCGUGGGGGACGACGGCCUUCGGGUUGUAAACCUCUUUUAGUAGGGAAGAAGCGAAAGUGACGGUACCUGCAGAAAAAGCACCGGCUAACUACGUGCCAGCCGCCGCCGUAA
rnacentral:rRNA from 1 species